rnacentral:lncRNA from 1 species
UUUUAUCCAGUCCAACUAACCCCAUUGACAUGUCAAGGUUCUUCUCCUCAUUUUCAUCCUUGAUUUUCACGUAGUUCUUACACUGAAAUUUGAGGUGCCCAACACGGCCACAUCUCUUGCAGGCUCCACGGGACACAUCCACAUCAGCAUUGGUUAUCUUAGCAAGUUGAAGAAGCCCCUGGAAGCUGGCAUAAGCAUUCUCACCGUCAGGCUCAUCAUUAGGAAGACUUUGUGAAGUAUCCUUUUUGUCUUCCUUAUUGGGUGCAUAAGGGUCAUAACCAAUGGCACUCUGCCAUAUGCCAUGAGUUUGAAGGGCUGCACUACUAUGCACCCUAUUGUUAGCGGGCAUGCGUACCCUACCUGCUGUAGCCGGCAUCUUGUGACUUUGAUGUCAAUCCUUAACCUGGAGGCUGAAGACAGGUAAAAAGGCAACUUAACUGUAAGAAGCUAUAACAAGGCAAAAAAAAAUCAGGAAUCAAACAUUCUGCAAAAAAUAAAAUUCCAUUUGCAUCUCUAGGUCACUAACAAAAAUAAAUAAAAGAGGUACGGGGAGUUAAAAUUCUGCACAUAAAUUUAAUACUCGUUUGGAGGAAGUGCAUAAAUAGCUUAAACUUUCCUACAAUGAUAUAACCGAAGUCGUAGACUCCAAGCAUUUCAUUCCUAUAACAUAAUAAAUUUUAGAUCAACAUUGGAUCAUUCCAAUGAGUGAAUGACUAAAGAACAGCAACUACAUUUAUAGAUUUCAAAUUUCAGCUGCUUAGGUAUAAGUCCAUAUUACCACCUCAUCUAACCCAUGUUCAUAAUUCAUCUAAUCGACCAACUAUCUAUAUCUGAACCAGACUAUGCUAUACAGUUAUACAAGUUAAGUCAAGUUUCAUUCUUAAGUUCACCAUUCUAGUUUCACAAAAAUCUGUCUGUGUCACCUACCAACAGAUUAAUUAUAAGGACGGAAUACUAUUUUCCACAUAGAUUUUACUAACAAACAUUUUUCUCCACACCACAAUCAAAAUUACAUUUUCUAAUAAAUACCAAUGAACGUGAGCACCGUGAUUCAACAAAUACAUAAUAUGCCAAAACUAAAAAAACAAAUUAUAAUAAAUAAAAACUCAUCUACGAACAAAUAUUUCCCACGACAACGGCAACCCAAAAUUAUAAUACCUAAAUACCCAAAACACAUAAUAUAAAAUCUAUGUUCUAAAUUUUAUUUUAGGGAAUCCAAAUCACUAAAAUACCAUGUCUGUAUAAACCGAAACAGAAACAAAGUUCUUGUAUUGUGUCGAUUAACACAGAGAGCAUUGAUUUUGUUUGGAAUUCAAAGGAAAAGAGAUAAACAACGAGGGAAAGAGUAACCUGAUUUGAAAUUAACAGCGAUUGAGCGAUUCCGGAUUCCAAUCGGUUCUGAAUUAAGUACGGAAGAAGGAAAUUUGAACGAUCUGAAUGAAACUAAGAAAAGCAGAUGAAAGUUUAGGGUUCUAUGGGCGAAAGAGAAAAAGAGAAGAAGAUUGGAUUAGAUUCAAAACUUGAUAUCGAUUUCUCGGCUUCUCUAAAAUUAUUCUGUGGAUCAAUUGAGGCUUCCGUUUUAUGGGCCUGGCCCAAGUGUAAUUUUCUAACUAGGCGAAGAUGGUCCAACGAGUCCACUAAAUUUUCAUAUCAUAUUUUUUCUAAAAUUGAAGGUUAACCAAUCCUAAAUAUCUAUAGGACCAAUUUUUGACUAAAAAACCAACUCCCAAAUUUGAUUAAAUAUAAUGCAUUGUUCAUUUAGAUAAAGUAUUUUCAACAUUACUUAUUAUUAUGACUAUGUAUUUGACAUAUGAAGUAUUACAUAUAUAGAUAUUUUAUUUAUCAUUUACAUAUGUAAAUAGAUACAUACAAACAUGAUGAAUCAGAUAUCAUUGGACAAAUUGGGACGAAUCAAGUUUGGUCCUUACCUAAUUCUAAAUAUUGAUCACGUCUAAUUUUGAAACCGAACUCAACCCGAGACCAGUUAAAACUCGACCAUAUUAGAGUCUGGUCAUGAUAAGAACAAGUCGGGUAAACGGGUAGGGUUAGUAUUGAUCCGAUUAUACUCUUAAUCUAGUGAAAUAUCAAAAAUGAUAAAGUUGAAGAAAACAAUCAAUCUCUUCAUGAUAAAUAAUCAAUAUCUUGAUUUUCUAAAGUAGAAAGUAAAAUGACACACCACACAACACAUACUCUAAAAAGACAACUAUUUUGGAAUGGAGGGUUAGGUUGUCGGCCUAAUUUGAAAGGAACAUUUUUCUAAUUAGUGUCAUUGACAAUUUGGGCAAAACUUAUGAGGUUCACCCGCCCGCACGCUUUUUCUAGGCGAGUAGAGCAUGAAAAAAUAUGUUCAUCCGUCCUAAAAGUUUCCCCAACAUGCCCUAUUUGCCCAUGGGCCUUUCGAACGAGCAAAGCGGGCAGCCCAUGGACAUUAUUAAAGAAAGUAUUGUACAUUAAAUAUGCUAAUGUAUAUUUCAUGCCUACUCAAGAACGGGCGUGCACAUGCUCACCCUAUUUAAGUGGGCAUUGCAUGGACUAGACCGUUAAAACGACCAUAAUUAUAAUUACCAACACUACUUAGUGCCUCAAAAUUUCAUAGGAUACAAUGAGUUAAUAAUGGAAUCAAUUGAUGCUGUAUUAUCUCAAGUAGAACUUUGCUCUCAAGUGAAGAAAAUAAACUAAAGUAAAUAAAAGGACCGUAAAUUGAAGCAAAAAUGCUGCAAAAAAUAAAUAUAAUUCAUAACAGACGGAUUGAAAGAAAUUGAUAAACCAAACAGAAGGAGGAGAAAAUAGAGAUGAGUUUNNNNNNNNNNNNNNNNNNNNNNNNNNNNNNNNNNNNNNNNNNNNNNNNNNNNNNNNNNNNNNNNNNNNNNNNNNNNNNNNNNNNNNNNNNNNNNNNNNNNAUUUUCACGUAGUUCUUACACUGAAAUUUGAGGUGCCCAACACGGCCACAUCUCUUGCAGGCUCCACGGGACACAUCCACAUCAGCAUUGGUUAUCUUAGCAAGUUGAAGAAGCCCCUGGAAGCUGGCAUAAGCAUUCUCACCGUCAGGCUCAUCAUUAGGAAGACUUUGUGAAGUAUCCUUUUUGUCUUCCUUAUUGGGUGCAUAAGGGUCAUAACCAAUGGCACUCUGCCAUAUGCCAUGAGUUUGAAGGGCUGCACUACUAUGCACCCUAUUGUUAGCGGGCAUGCGUACCCUACCUGCUGUAGCCGGCAUCUUGUGACUUUGAUGUCAAUCCUUAACCUGGAGGCUGAAGACAGGUAAAAAGGCAACUUAACUGUAAGAAGCUAUAACAAGGCAAAAAAAAAUCAGGAAUCAAACAUUCUGCAAAAAAUAAAAUUCCAUUUGCAUCUCUAGGUCACUAACAAAAAUAAAUAAAAGAGGUACGGGGAGUUAAAAUUCUGCACAUAAAUUUAAUACUCGUUUGGAGGAAGUGCAUAAAUAGCUUAAACUUUCCUACAAUGAUAUAACCGAAGUCGUAGACUCCAAGCAUUUCAUUCCUAUAACAUAAUAAAUUUUAGAUCAACAUUGGAUCAUUCCAAUGAGUGAAUGACUAAAGAACAGCAACUACAUUUAUAGAUUUCAAAUUUCAGCUGCUUAGGUAUAAGUCCAUAUUACCACCUCAUCUAACCCAUGUUCAUAAUUCAUCUAAUCGACCAACUAUCUAUAUCUGAACCAGACUAUGCUAUACAGUUAUACAAGUUAAGUCAAGUUUCAUUCUUAAGUUCACCAUUCUAGUUUCACAAAAAUCUGUCUGUGUCACCUACCAACAGAUUAAUUAUAAGGACGGAAUACUAUUUUCCACAUAGAUUUUACUAACAAACAUUUUUCUCCACACCACAAUCAAAAUUACAUUUUCUAAUAAAUACCAAUGAACGUGAGCACCGUGAUUCAACAAAUACAUAAUAUGCCAAAACUAAAAAAACAAAUUAUAAUAAAUAAAAACUCAUCUACGAACAAAUAUUUCCCACGACAACGGCAACCCAAAAUUAUAAUACCUAAAUACCCAAAACACAUAAUAUAAAAUCUAUGUUCUAAAUUUUAUUUUAGGGAAUCCAAAUCACUAAAAUACCAUGUCUGUAUAAACCGAAACAGAAACAAAGUUCUUGUAUUGUGUCGAUUAACACAGAGAGCAUUGAUUUUGUUUGGAAUUCAAAGGAAAAGAGAUAAACAACGAGGGAAAGAGUAACCUGAUUUGAAAUUAACAGCGAUUGAGCGAUUCCGGAUUCCAAUCGGUUCUGAAUUAAGUACGGAAGAAGGAAAUUUGAACGAUCUGAAUGAAACUAAGAAAAGCAGAUGAAAGUUUAGGGUUCUAUGGGCGAAAGAGAAAAAGAGAAGAAGAUUGGAUUAGAUUCAAAACUUGAUAUCG